rnacentral:rRNA from 1 species
UACGGGGGGGGCAAGCGUUGUUCGGAAUUACUGGGCGUAAAGGGCUCGUAGGCGGCUGGCUAAGUCAGACGUGAAAUCCCCCGGCUUAACCGGGGAACUGCGUCUGAUACUGGCCGGCUUGAGUUUGGGAGAGGGAUGCGGAAUUCCAGGUGUAGCGGUGAAAUGCGUAGAUAUCGGGAAGAACACCCGUGGCGAAGGCGGCUCUCUGGGACGGUACUGACGCUGAGACGCGAAAGCGUGGGGAGCGAACAGG